CAGUAAAUAGUUUAAAAAAUAUUAAUUUUGGAGAUUAAAGAUAAGCGUUGGCUUUUUACUGA
rnacentral:tRNA from 1 species